GACGUAGGGGGCCAGCGUUGCUCGGAAUUACUGGGUGUAAAGGGUUCGUAGGCGGUGUGGCAAGUCGGGAGUGAAAUCUCUGGGCUCAACCCAGAGUCUGCUUCCGAAACUGCUGUGCUUGAGUGUGGGAGAGGCGCGUGGAAUUGCGGGUGUAGCGGUGAAAUGCGUAGAUAUCUGCAGGAACACCCGUGGCGAAAGCGGCGCGCUGGACCACUACUGACGCUGAGGAACGAAAGCUAGGGGAGCAAACAGG
rnacentral:rRNA from 1 species